rnacentral:rRNA from 1 species
GAUGAACGCUCGCUACAGGCUUAACACAUGCAAGUCGCGGGGCAGCAUGGGGGUUGCUUGCAAUCCCCGAUGGCGACCGGCGCACGGGUGAGUAACGCGUAUCCAACCUGCCCUUCACCACGGGAUAACCCGGCGAAAGUCGGACUAAUACCGUAUGUUGUCCAUUGACGGCAUCCGAUUUGGACGAAAGGCUUGGCGGUGAGGGAUGGGGAUGCGUCCGAUUAGCCAGACGGCGGGGUAACGGCCCACCGUGGCUACGAUCGGUAGGGGUUCUGAGAGGAAGGUCCCCCACACUGGAACUGAGACACGGUCCAGACUCCUACGGGAGGCAGCAGUGAGGAAUAUUGGUCAAUGGGCGUAAGCCUGAACCAGCCAAGUAGCGUGCAGGAUGACGGCCCUAUGGGUUGUAAACUGCUUUUAUGCGGGGAUAAAGUGGCCCACGUGUGGGCUUUUGCAGGUACCGCAUGAAUAAGGACCGGCUAAUUCCGUG